AUUGAACGCUGGCGACAUGCCUUACACAUGCAAGUCGAACGGCAGCACGGUUACUUCCUCCUCUUGCCGAUUGCGGGACGCGGGAGUAAUACAUCUAAACAUGACCCGUAUUUUUCGUUGGCCCUGCGAAAGGCGAAUUAAUACUACAUACGAAUUACACAUAAGGGCGGGGGCCCUGGAGCCCUCGCGCUUGAGGGUUUGCCGAUGGCGGAUUAGCUAGUUGGUGGGGUAAAGGCCUACCAAGGCGACGGUCAGUAGCUGGUCUGAGAGGAUGACCAGGCACACUGGAACUGAGACACGGUCCAGACUCCUACGGGAGGCAGCAGUGGGGAAUUUUGGACAAUGGGCGAAAGCCUGAUCCAGCAAUGCCGCGUGUGUGAAGAAGGCCUUCGGGUUGUAAAGCACUUUUGUUGGGAAAGAAAAGCUGCGCCCUAAUACGGCGGGGGGCUGACGGUACCGAAAGAAUAAGCACCGGCUAACUACGUG
rnacentral:rRNA from 1 species